GCGACGUCAUUGGUACUCCCUGGAGAAAGAAAAGUUUGUUUCAUCCAUUGGGUUAUUGAAUGAUUCAAGUCUCAAUAUCAACUAUUGAAUAAGCACUGGAUGAGGGUAGCACUGAACUCCUCAGCGAUGUGAUUGAAAUGGAAAUGAACUCAUACUUUUUGUUACCAAUACUUAUUCAGGAUAUAAUUGGAAGGACAUUGAAAUUGUCUUCCCCAUUUGGGUGGUCAUCUUAACUCUGAAAUGUAUUUCGUUGCUAUCCUAUGGAAA
rnacentral:lncRNA from 1 species